rnacentral:rRNA from 1 species
UACGGGGGGGGCAAGCGUUGUUCGGAAUUACUGGGCGUAAAGGGCUCGUAGGCGGCCAACUAAGUCAGACGUGAAAUCCCUCGGCUUAACCGUGGAACUGCUUGGUAUACUGGCGGUCUUGAGCCAGCUAGGGGCUACCGGAACAAAUGGUGGAGCGGUGAAAUGCGUAGAUAUCAUUUGGAACGCCAAUGGUGAAAACAGGUAGCUGGGGCUGUGCUGACGCUGAGACACGAAAGCCAGGGGAGCAAACGGG